UUUCAUUGAUCCUAAAUUGGAAGCAGGGGGAAAAAAUUAGGACAUCUGUCAAUUAUUAAUCAAGUCCUGGCUAUUUUGGGACAAUUAUCACAGGGAUUAUUGUUUGGCCUCUUGGAUUGUUGCUGGAGAUACCAGUCUGCCUACCUACAAGUUCAUCUUGUAGAAGGCUGGCUUCCCAGGCUAGUUACUGGAGAACAAUAGUUUGGUUUCCUAAGAUGGUUGCUGCAGACUCAUCACUGAGUGGCCUUGUCUGAUGUUGGUGUGCUGUGAAAUGGUUUACAUUCAAUAGGAAAACAGCGUGACUUGACUGUGAAUGCCAGGACAGCUCCUAACAACAGGGAGCAAGCAAAGAAGACGGCUGUCCUGUCUUCAACAAAAUUCUAUGGAUUUUCUGUUUGUUCUUUGGAAAACAUCUAAGAAAGAAUAAAAGUCAUGAAAU